GGUAAAUUGAUUUUACCCUUGCUUUUAUGGUGUGUAGUGUUUGAAGAUUUACUGGAGGAUGCACUUUGGGCUUUACUGGUGGAUGAUUUUAUGGGCUUAUUUGAACUGGUUGAAAGUUGUUCAGACAUCUCUUGACAGAUCAAUCUAUAUUCUUCUGGUGUUUUGGCUGCAGCUAACCGGGCCUGACAUUGGGCUUUUUGGAUACCAAACUGGGGGUUAUCCUGAAUAGCUAAUGUAUGGGCAUAAGUUAAAGCUGGUUUAGAUGGGCUGGAUAAUUUAUUGCGGAUCCAUUG
rnacentral:lncRNA from 1 species